rnacentral:rRNA from 1 species
UAGUCAUAUGCUUGUCUCAUAGAUUAAGCCAUGCAUGUCUAAGUACAUACCUUUGCACGGUGAAACUGCGAAUGGCUCAUUAAAACAGUUAUCGUUUCUUUGAUAGUCAUUUACUACAUGGAUAACUGUAGUAAUUCUAGAGCUAAUACAUGCGUAAAGACCCGACUUCACGGAAGGGUUGUGUUUAUUAGAUACAAAGCCAACCUGAGGUUCGCCUCAGUCAACGUUGGUGAUUCAUAAUAACCAAGCGAAUCGCAUAGGCUUGCCUGGCGAUAGAUCUUUCAAGUUUCUGACCUAUCAGCUAUCGACGGUAUGGUAUUGGCCUACCGUGGCUAUGACGGGUAACGGAGAAUUAGGGUUCGAUUCCGGAGAGGGAGCCUGAGAAACGGCUACCACAUCUAAGGAUGGCAGCAGGCGCGCAAAUUACCCAAUCCUGACACAAGGAGGUAGUGACAAGAAAUAACAAUGCAGGGCUUUACAGUCUUGCAAUUGGAAUGAGUAGAUUUUAAAUCUCUUUACGAGUAACAAUU